UACGUAGGUGGCAAGCGUUGUCCGGAAUUAUUGGGCGUAAAGCGCGCGCAGGCGGUUACGUAAGUCUGAUGUUAAAGCCCGGGGCUCAACCUCGGUCCGCAUUGGAAACUGCGUAACUUGAGUGCAGAAGAGGAAAGCGGUAUUCCACGUGUAGCGGUGAAAUGCGUAGAGAUGUGGAGGAACACCAGUGGCGAAGGCGGCUUUCUGGUCUGUAACUGACGCUGAGGCGCGAAAGCGUGGGUAGCAAACAGG
rnacentral:rRNA from 1 species